rnacentral:pre_miRNA from 1 species
UAGGGAGACCAACUCGCUGGGUUUGCUCAGUACUGAGGGGUUUCCUGGGGCACAGAACUUUCAGCGCUAAAACUGAACAGGACAGUCCUGAGCAAACCAGGAUAGCUGGUCACCCUAAGGCCAG